rnacentral:rRNA from 1 species
AGAUUGAACGCUGGCGGCAGGCCUAACACAUGCAAGUCGAGCGGCAGCACGGGUACUUGUACCUGGUGGCGAGCGGCGGACGGGUGAGUAAUGCCUAGGAAUCUGCCUGGUAGUGGGGGGAUAACGCUCGGAAACGGACGCUAAUACCGCAUACGUCCUACGGGGGAAAGCAGGGGACCUUCGGGCCUUGCGCUAUCAGAUGAGCCUAGGUCGAUUAGCUAGUUGGUGAGGUAAUGGCUCACCGAAGGUCGACGAUCCCGUAAUGGUCUGAGAGGAUGAUCCAGUCACACUGGAACUGGAGACACGGUCCAGGACCUCCGAAGGGAGCAGGUCCGAGGUAGGAAUUGUAGGAACAGGU